GGUUAAGCGACUAAGCGUACACGGUGGAUGCCCUGGCAGUCAGAGGCGAUGAAGGACGUGCUAAUCUGCGAAAAGCGUCGGUAAGGUGAUAUGAACCGUUAUAGCCGGCGAUGUCCGAAUGGGGAAACCCAGUGCAAUUCGUUGCACUAUCGUUAACUGAAUACAUAGGUUAACGAGGCGAACCGGGGGAACUGAAACAUCUAAGUACCCCGAGGAAAAGAAAUCAACCGAGAUUCCCCCAGUAGCGGCGAGCGAACGGGGAGCAGCCCAGAGUCUGAAUCAGCUUGUGUGUUAGUGGAACGGUCUGGAAAGUCCGACGGUACAGGGUGAUAGUCCCGUACACCAAAAUGCACAGGCUGUGAACUCGAAGAGUAGGGCGGGACACGUGGUAUCCUGUCUGAAUAUGGGGGGACCAUCCUCCAAGGCUAAAUACUCCUGACUGACCGAUAGUGAACCAGUACCGUGAGGGAAAGGCGAAAAGAACCCCGGCGAGGGGAGUGAAAAAGAACCUGAAACCGUGUACGUACAAGCAGUGGGAGCACCUUCGGGUGUGACUGCGUACCUUUUGUAUAAUGGGUCAGCGACUUAUAUUCUGUAGCAAGGUUAACCGUAUAGGGGAGCCGCAGGGAAACCGAGUCUUAACUGGGCGUUAAGUUGCAGGGUAUAGACCCGAAACCCGGUGAUCUAGCCAUGGGCAGGUUGAAGGUUGGGUAACACUAACUGGAGGACCGAACCGACUAAUGUUGAAAAAUUAGCGGAUGACUUGUGGCUGGGGGUGAAAGGCCAAUCAAACCGGGAGAUAGCUGGUUCUCCCCGAAAGCUAUUUAGGUAGCGCCUCGUGAACUCAUCUUCGGGGGUAGAGCACUGUUUCGGCUAGGGGGUCAUCCCGACUUACCAACCCGAUGCAAACUACGAAUACCGAAGAAUGUUAUCACGGGAGACACACGGCGGGUGCUAACGUCCGUCGUGAAGAGGGAAACAACCCAGACCGCCAGCUAAGGUCCCAAAGUCAUGGUUAAGUGGGAAACGAUGUGGGAAGGCACAGACAGCCAGGAUGUUGGCUUAGAAGCAGCCAUCAUUUAAAGAAAGCGUAAUAGCUCACUGGUCGAGUCGGCCUGCGCGGAAGAUGUAACGGGGCUAAACCAUGCACCGAAGCUGCGGCAGCGACACUAUGUGUUGUUGGGUAGGGGAGCGUUCUGUAAGCCUGCGAAGGUGUGCUGUGAGGCAUGCUGGAGGUAUCAGAAGUGCGAAUGCUGACAUAAGUAACGAUAAAGCGGGUGAAAAGCCCGCUCGCCGGAAGACCAAGGGUUCCUGUCCAACGUUAAUCGGGGCAGGGUGAGUCGACCCCUAAGGCGAGGCCGAAAGGCGUAGUCGAUGGGAAACAGGUUAAUAUUCCUGUACUUGGUGUUACUGCGAAGGGGGGACGGAGAAGGCUAUGUUAGCCGGGCGACGGUUGUCCCGGUUUAAGCAUGUAGGCUGGUUGUCCAGGCAAAUCCGGAUAAUCAAGGCUGAGGUGUGAUGACGAGGCACUACGGUGCUGAAGUAACAAAUGCCCUGCUUCCAGGAAAAGCCUCUAAGCAUCAGGUAACAUUAAAUCGUACCCCAAACCGACACAGGUGGUCAGGUAGAGAAUACCAAGGCGCUUGAGAGAACUCGGGUGAAGGAACUAGGCAAAAUGGUGCCGUAACUUCGGGAGAAGGCACGCUGGUGUGUAGGUGAAGUCCCUGCGGAUGGAGCUGAGACCAGUCGAAGAUACCAGCUGGCUGCAACUGUUUAUUAAAAACACAGCACUGUGCAAACACGAAAGUGGACGUAUACGGUGUGACGCCUGCCCGGUGCCGGAAGGUUAAUUGAUGGGGUUAUCCGUAAGGAGAAGCUCUUGAUCGAAGCCCCGGUAAACGGCGGCCGUAACUAUAACGGUCCUAAGGUAGCGAAAUUCCUUGUCGGGUAAGUUCCGACCUGCACGAAUGGCGUAAUGAUGGCCAGGCUGUCUCCACCCGAGACUCAGUGAAAUUGAACUCGCUGUGAAGAUGCAGUGUACCCGCGGCAAGACGGAAAGACCCCGUGAACCUUUACUAUAGCUUGACACUGAACAUUGAGCCUUGAUGUGUAGGAUAGGUGGGAGGCUUUGAAGCGUGGACGCCAGUCUGCGUGGAGCCAACCUUGAAAUACCACCCUUUAAUGUUUGAUGUUCUAACGUUGGCCCCUUACCGGGGUUGCGGACAGUGUCUGGUGGGUAGUUUGACUGGGGCGGUCUCCUCCCAAAGCGUAACGGAGGAGCACGAAGGUUAGCUAAUCCUGGUCGGACAUCAGGAGGUUAGUGCAAUGGCAUAAGCUAGCUUGACUGCGAGCGUGACGGCGCGAGCAGGUGCGAAAGCAGGUCAUAGUGAUCCGGUGGUUCUGAAUGGAAGGGCCAUCGCUCAACGGAUAAAAGGUACUCCGGGGAUAACAGGCUGAUACCGCCCAAGAGUUCAUAUCGACGGCGGUGUUUGGCACCUCGAUGUCGGCUCAUCACAUCCUGGGGCUGAAGUAGGUCCCAAGGGUAUGGCUGUUCGCCAUUUAAAGUGGUACGCGAGCUGGGUUUAGAACGUCGUGAGACAGUUCGGUCCCUAUCUGCCGUGGGCGCUGGAGAAUUGAGGGGGGCUGCUCCUAGUACGAGAGGACCGGAGUGGACGCAUCACUGGUGUUCGGGUUGUCAUGCCAAUGGCACUGCCCGGUAGCUAAAUGCGGAAGAGAUAAGUGCUGAAAGCAUCUAAGCACGAAACUUGCCCCGAGAUGAGUUCUCCCUGAGACUUUAAGUCUCCUGAAGGAACGUUAAAGACGAUGACGUUGAUAGGCCGGGUGUGUAAGCGCAGCGAUGCGUUGAGCUAACCGGUACUAAUGAACCGUGAGGCUUAACCUU
rnacentral:rRNA from 1 species